UGGGGAAUUUUGGACAAUGGGGAAACCCGUGAUCCAGCCAUCCCGCCGUGUGCGAUGAAGGCCUUCGGGUUGUAAAGCACUUUUGGCAGGAAAGAAACGUCGCGGGUUAAUACCCCGCGAACAUGACGGUACCUGCAGAAUAAGCACCGGCUAACUACGUGCCAGCAGCCGCGGUAAUACGUAGGGUGCAAGCGUUAAUCGGAAUUACUGGGCGUAAAGCGUGCGCAGGCGGUUCGGAAAGAAAGAUGUGAAAUCCCAGAGCUUAACUUUGGAACUGCAUUUUUAACUACCGGGCUAGAGUGUGUCAGAGGGAGGUGGAAUUCCGCGUGUAGCAGUGAAAUGCGUAGAUAUGCGGAGGAACACCGAUGGCGAAGGCAGCCUCCUGGGAUAACACUGACGCUCAUGCACGAAAGCGUGGGGAGCAAACAGGAUUAGAUACCCUGGUAGUCCACGCCCUAAACGAUGUCAACUAGCUGUU
rnacentral:rRNA from 1 species